CACUCCUACGGGAGGCAGCAGUGGGGAAUAUUGCACAAUGGGCGCAAGCCUGAUGCAGCCAUGCCGCGUGUAUGAAGAAGGCCUUCGGGUUGUAAAGUACUUUCAGCAGUGAGGAAGUGGGUAUGUUAAUAGCAUACUCAUUUGACGUUAGCUGCAGAAGAAGCACCGGCUAACUCCGUGCCAGCAGCCGCGGUAAUACGGAGGGUGCGAGCGUUAAUCGGAAUUACUGGGCGUAAAGCGCAUGCAGGUGGUUUGUUAAGUCAGAUGUGAAAGCCCGGGGCUCAACCUCGGAAUUGCAUUUGAAACUGGCAAACUAGAGUACUGUAGAGGGGGUAGAAUUUCAGGUGUAGCGGUGAAAUGCGUAGAGAUCUGAAGGAAUACCGGUGGCGAAGGCGGCCCCCUGGACAGAUACUGACACUCAGAUGCGAAAGCGUGGGGAGCAAACAGGAUUAGAUACCCUGGUAG
rnacentral:rRNA from 1 species